rnacentral:rRNA from 1 species
UACGUAGGGUGCAAGCGUUAAUCGGAAUUACUGGGCGUAAAGCGUGCGCAGGCGGUUUUGUAAGUCUGUCGUGAAAUCCCCGGGCUCAACCUGGGAACUGCAUUUGUGACUGCAUAGCUGGAGUGCGGCAGAGGGGGAUGGAAUUCCGCGUGUAGCAGUGAAAUGCGUAGAUAUGCGGAGGAACACCGAUGGCGAAGGCAAUCCCCUGGGCCUGCACUGACGCUCAUGCACGAAAGCGUGGGGAGCAAACAGG